UCCCCAGAAAGAGGAUGAGGAUGUCCAGUAUGAUGCUGUGAAAUUCAACUGCCCCAGUGCUGCCACCCGGAUAAAGCUAGCCCGUCCCCCUCCACCCUCCAGGAGUCCCCAGGUCGAUCGCCUCCCUGUACUUUACUGCUGGGUCUGGUGGACUGCAGGAAAACACCGGGGCAGAGUGGAACUGAGAGAGGAGAAGAGGAAUAUGGAGAUGUGAUUUCAUUAAGGGACAUCCCUAAUCGUUGCUCUCUAAGUGGGAGGGGCUUAUCAUCUGGGGAGCCUCAACAACAUUAUGAUGCUGACAAGAAAGAGAAGAGUCUCUCCAGAUCAGAACACCUCAAACACCAGCAUAGAGGUACA